GGAGCAAUCUGUAUGGUGAGAAAGCAGGAGUCAGCAGAAGCCAUAGUAGCCCAACGCCGGGGGCAAUGCCCCGGCAGACAUGGUGAAGGGC
rnacentral:ncRNA from 1 species